AACGAACGCUGGCGGCAUGCCUAACACAUGCAAGUCGAACGAGACCUUCGGGUCUAGUGGCGCACGGGUGCGUAACGCGUGGGAACCUGCCCUUAGGUUCGGAAUAACUCGCCGAAAGGGGUGCUAAUACCGGAUAAUUUCUUCGGACCAAAGAUUUAUCGCCUUUGGAUGGGGCCGCGUUGGAUUAGCUAGUUGGUAGGGUAAAAGCCUACCAAGGCGACGAUCCAUAGCUGGUCUGAGAGGAUGAGCAGCCACACUGGGACUGAGACACGGCCCAGACUACUACGGGAGGCAGCAGUGGGGAAUAUUGGACAAUGGGCGAAAGCCUGAUGCAGCAAUGCUGCGUGAGUGAUGAAGGCCUUAGGGUUGUAAAGCUCUUUUACCCGGGAUGAUAAUGACAGUACCGGGAGAAUAAGCUCCGGCUAACUCCGUG
rnacentral:rRNA from 1 species